rnacentral:tRNA from 2 species
GGGGUGGUGGCGCAGUUGGCUAGCGCGUAGGUCUCAUAGCUGAUUGAGUUAUCCUGAGGUCGAGAGUUCGAGCCUGUCUCACCCCA